GGUAGUGCUAGCUCAGUGGUUAAAACCUUGGACUUCUGAUUAAAAGGUCAUGAGUUCAAAUCACAGUACCA